GACGUAGGGCGCGAGCGUUGUCCGGAUUUAUUGGGCGUAAAGAGCUCGUAGGCGGCUUGUUGCGUCAGCUGUGAAAACCCGCAGCUCAACUGUGGGCUUGCAGCUGAUACGGGCAGGCUUGAGUUCGGUAGGGGAGACUGGAAUUCCUGGUGUAGCGGUGAAAUGACGCAGAUAUCUGGAGGAAUACCGGUGGCGAAGGCGGCAUCCUGGACCAUAACUGACGCUGAGGCGCGAAAGCUAGGGGAGCAACGGG
rnacentral:rRNA from 1 species